UGCUGUCUGUAUUGCACAACUUUUGAAUUGCUGUCUGUAUUGCACUUCAAAAGUUGUGCAAUACAGACAGCAAUUCAAAAGUUGUGCAAUACAG
rnacentral:pre_miRNA from 1 species